rnacentral:rRNA from 1 species
GGGUGCAAUCAUACCAGCACUAAUGAACCGGAUCCCAUCAAAAUUCUGCAGUUAAGCGUGCUUGGACGAGAGUAAUACUAGAAUGGGUGACCUCCUUGGAAGUCCUCGUAUUGCACCUU